rnacentral:rRNA from 1 species
UGGGGAAUAUUGGACAAUGGGGGAAACCCUGAUCCAGCAAUGCCGCGUGAGUGAUGAAGGCCUUAGGGUUGUAAAGCUCUUUUACCAGGGAUGAUAAUGACAGA